rnacentral:lncRNA from 1 species
GCGAUGGGGGCGGGUUUGUGGGGCGCGUUCUCCCACCCGUUAGGGUCGAAUAAUGGCAGUGGGCGGGCCGGCGCAGUCUCGGCGCUCUCGUUCCCCAGAGGAGUUAAUCGUUUAUGGCAACUCCAGUGAGUGCCCCCAGCCCGGCACCCGGCACUCAGCACUCAGCACCCAGCACUCAGCACCCAGCUCAGCCUGCAGAGCCCUUGGGCAGAGUCGAGCGGGUCUCCCACGGAAACUCACUCAAGCGCGGUAGGCACAGCUCUUGUGUUGCCAGCCACACCAGGGGACAAAAACACCUGAGAGUUGGUCUCAGACCACACCCACGGUGGCAGCCUC